AGUUUUAAAAGAAAUUUAGAAGAAACAAAUAAUUCACUUGGACAGUUUUCAUUAUUUGACAAAAUUGCUUCAGGCAUACAGCAGCACAAGUCAGUUGCAGUACAUGAGCCGAUCGAUUACAGAGCCCUGCCAAAAUAUUAUUACUUGUUGACAAUGUGCUACAUGAUAACAGUGAUCAUUAUCAAACUAGAAUGCAUUACAACCCAGGCAGUCCUUAGUGUGCCGAACCCUGGAAACUCUGUGUGCAGCUUGUGUCGAAUAUUACAGAGUUUGCAGAGUUUUAAAAUCUCUGCAAUUACUCAGAAAUCUCCCUGAACAUUUCUUCGUGUCUGGUUGCCGCACUGUGGGAGAACAGAUCAGUUACAGCUCUGGGAUUGAUUAUGCCUAAUGGUCACUGUUCAAUAGCAAUGUUCACAGUAAUGAGGGCUGCUUUGAAAGACACACAUGUCAAUAUCUCUGUUCUGGGUGUGAUUGUGCGCCAUCCGAAAGAUGUAACAGAAGAAAAAGAAGCUCCACUAACUCUCUUCCUUUUCUAAGUCAGUGCCCUGGUUUAUUUUAUUUUUUAUUUUUUUAAUUUGCAUGCUUUUCUGCUAAUAUUUUUUUCCUAAGGUCUUUGCCUGGUGACUCAAGCAAGGUGAAAACACAGGUUUUCAUGCCACUCUAUAAAUUUUUUUACAUCUUGUCAUAUUACAAUCGUAUUUUAUUGGAAUUUUAUGUGAUAUACCCAGUCAAUGUGGUGCGAUAUUGUAAAGUGGAAAGCUAAUGAUGCAUGGUUUUCUUUCUGAAAAGCAGGCUGUGGGCUGUUUUUGGAAAAAAAAAAAAAUCAGAUGAAGUUCUGUUUGCAGUUAGCCACAAUCCAUGUAGGUGACAAAGCAAACAUGUGGACAAGGGUGCUCUGGUCAUAAGAGGUCAAAAUUGGACUUCCUGACAUAUGCAAAAUGCUAGUGGUGGUGAAGAAAGUCCCUGCUGUAAAUACUCCAUUCCAGCUGAUAUACACCCAAAAUACACCAUCGGUGAAACAUGUGGAUAGCAGCAUCACGCUGUGAAAAUCCUCAUCUUCAGCAGGGAAAGACGGAGCUAGAUACAGGAUGGAAGAAAUCAUAUCAGAAACUGCAAAAGACCUGUUUAGCUUUCAGAAGGGUGACAACUCAAAACAUAUCGCCAUGGACACAAUGGAUUGGUCUAGAGCAAAGUCUAUUUACUUGGUAGAAUGGUCCAGUUAAAGUCCACGCCCGCCCAAAUCCUAUUGAACAUUUGAGGCGGGACUGAAAAUUGGCGUUCACGUAUGUUCACCAACCAAUACGGCUCACUUUGAGUGUAUUGGACAUGUGAGUCUAUAGGUGAUAGAGAACUGCCCCAAAAGACCCUGGAGUUGUAAUUGCAAAAAAAAUAUUCACACAAAGUUGAAUUAUGCACACUCAUCUUUGUAGAUUUGUCUCUGUAAUUUGAAUUUGAAAGACACAUAUUCUUCUAUUUAAACUAAUCAGUGUUAGCCCAUUGGGGGAAAAAAAUGUAAUGAAAUCAAGCAGCCUGCAUUCAGUGCGAGCACAUGCAAGAGUAGCGCAAAUAGUCUGCGGCAGCGGCAGAAAUCAGCUCCUGUGUGUAAAUAUUGCAGAGGUAAUUUAGGGCCAAUCUAUGCACGUUUUCUUCAAAACUGCACACAUUUAGACACUCAAAUCGUCCACACACACACACACACACACACACACACGCACACACACUAAUUCCCCCUGAUUUAAAUACCCAAUCCCACGCCUCUGACACAGGCAUGUGAAUUCGGCUCACACCGACUUUCCAUUGGUUGCUGCCCAAGCAUCUCCUCCACGGGGCAUUUCACCGCGCUCCCUGGAACUAGAAGAGACAAGCCUCCAUGUUCUGACUGUGGGGCUGAGGCUUCCAGCUCAGAAGACAGAAUUAAAACAACUCUCGCUCUGGCUUCUGUUUUCCACCUCAUCCACCAACCCCCUCCUCUCCCCGUCAGGUUGUCUCUAUCCUAAUGAAAUUCAUCACAGAUCUGAAUAGAUCGCCUUGCACCAACUCUCACAUGUUCACCCUUCGGCAUGCCUCUUGUGCCUGGAUUUUUUUUGCGCGGCCAACGCCGGUGUUCCGAAUCCAGUGCAAGGGGGAGCGACGCUGAUAAAAACGUUUCCUCUGGUAAAACCGCAUCGCAGCAUGCAUGCAAUGCCCAAUGGCGGACGGCGUUCACAAUCCAGCCUCUCUGUCAACACUGGAGCGACGACAGAGAGAGAGACACAAGAGGACAUUGGAGAUAGCGGCAGAGGGAAACACAAGUGGAUGAGAGAGGAGGCAAUCAGAUUCUGCUGCUGCUCCAAAGAGGGAACUGUGUCUACAGGCUGGGGGCCGAGCGCUGAAUGGUUGGAGCAGACAUGUUGUUCAGGUGCUAACGCGACCAUCUGUUGUUUACAUUCUGCUGCCAUCAACAAUAAUCUGACAAAGAACACAGCUGCACCUCCUCUGCAGUGACAGCGCUUAGUGAGCCCGUGUGUCGCCGUCACUGCGCCGCUCAAACUAAUUAAAAGAUUUGCUUGAGAAAUGCUCCUGAUCCAGCGGUCAAAAAUAAUAAUAAUUAAAAAAAAAAAAAAAGGAUAAAAGUAUUCCGGUUUGACACCAAUUUCUCUGCUCUGUCUUAAAGAGCGGAGAGUCGUGUCAUUAAAAAUAAAGACUGCAGCUGCACACCGCGGUCCAAAAGCUAAUGUGAAAUGAAGCCACGAUGCUGCUGGUCUGCCUUCAUUACUUGUUUUCCUGGCUCCUAAUAAUGCGACUAAAUGUGGCUGCAGCCCAGACAAUUUAGCGUUUAAUGGCAAAGAUUAUCUUUCACCUAUACGCUAAUAAUUAUGGCUAGAAGGGCGAAGUAAGAGAGAGGCUAAGUAAUAAUAAACUAUUGAAUUUUAUUUCUAACAAGAAGCACUUUUUUUUUAGGUCUGAUCCUUUAGCUGAAACUGAUUCAAGCGAGAAAAGUCCUAAUUUUAGCUGGGUAACAUGGGUUGAGUCUUCCUCUUAAAUGAACCACUUGUUUUAUUUAGCAUACUUCCGUAUUGGUUAAUUAGAAAAUCUCUAAGUUUGGAGAUUUUGUUUUUGCCACCUUCCAGAUUGGGUUCUACAGCCAGUAGGGAUUGCUACUGUGAACAGCUACCUUGGUUCUUCUUUUUCCACCCUUUUUCAAUUUCUCACUACUUACAUGACGGGGUUCACGAAAAAUGUAUUCUGCAAAGAAAAACAGAAACCUUAUGUGGAAUCGCUAUAGAAUAUUUAUCUGUUCGACAGCAAUCUUGUGCUUCAGAAAAUGUAUUUUAAAUAGUACUAUCCAACAUAAGACGGCACCUAAUGUCUAUGCUUGUGCUCCCCCUUACAUAUUGCCGCCCAUGGUGGGGAGCCACAUAGCCCAAGUCAAGAAAUGACACCAGCAAAAGCUGAUAUGAAAUGGCUAAAUAAUGCUUUUUAUCUUUUUUUUUCUUGAUGUUACACAUUUUUAUAGUAGAAUCUACAAAGGGAGCCAAAGUAAUUCCACCUCUUUUUACUCUACCAGACAAUUAGAGUCCAUAAGAAUGCUAAUGUAGGUGCUUGGUGUGAAAGGACCUUGAUGGUCAGCGCAGAGUGCUGACCUCAACUCCACAAAAGACUUUCGGCAUGAAUUAGAGCAAAGACCGCGAGUCAGGCUUCCUUGCAUGUGGUAACAGUGGAAAGGAAUGUCCAGUCUCAGGAGGAAACAGAAAUGGCGCAGAAGCCCGCCGUAGUCAUGGAGUACGGUCUGCGAGAAAGAGAAACAAAGAAUACACAAAGUGAAUGACAGAAACGGUGUGGCCAGAAAGACAACGAGAUAACACGCAGCAAAGACAAUCCGCCCAGCACACAACGUCGUGCUUUGUUGUCGACUCUAAAUGUGACUCAUCGCUCUGCGGCACCAAGACUGUGAGGAACGUUUUUCAAUUAGAGCUGCAGUUAGCUAUCAAAAAAUAAUAAAAAAAAGAGCGUCGCAGAUUAUUUUAGAAGACUCGCAAACAACUGUAGUGUUCGGACGACGUUUAAUGAGGUAACAGAGGACGUGCAUCAGAUUCCCUCUGUAUUGCUUUUCAGACGCGUUUGUGUUCCGAUCUUGGCAGAAUCUCCACACGCGUUUCAGCUGUCUUUAAUUUCAGUUAUCCCGGAUGUGACCGACAGCUACUGCCCGGAUGUGACCGACAGCUACUGCCCGGAUGUGACCGACAGCUACUACCACACAGAAAACGCAGCCCUGGUGGUUUAGAGGCGCCUUCGUAAUGGCCUUGUUUGAGGCAGGUCAAACGAGUCCGGAUUACUGGUGUGAAAUUUAGAAAACCGAGUCAGAGUUCGUCCGGUGCUGUAGGUGAACAAAUAAAAAAGUAUUUUCCUCUGAGAGUGUGUGAGUGUGUGUGUGUGUGUGUGUGUGUGUGUGUGUGUGUGUGCUUGUGUAAUAGCUGUAUUACUAAACCAGAUUAUAUUUUCUUCUUUGUCCUUGACAUAGUUAGAUUCCUGCGGCUGCGUUCGGCAUGAUUCCACCCGUGGACACAGCGUCCAUGUUGCGCUCCACGUCUACCUGUCCAGGUUCCCUGAAUCUGCUGGGUCAACUUCCAUUAACGUCCUCUGCUCAGUCUCUGCAGAGAGGAGAUGCAAAGUGGGCAGCAGAGGAUGGAAAUAGAUUUUGGUUCAAACAGCCCUCAGUUCCUCGCCUCAGACCAUUUUGACUAAUGAGCCCAUAUUGCUGAGGGGUUAAUUCCCAAAGGGUGCACAUGGAGGACGCCAGUGCCCCCUUCUCCUUGCCCCAUUUUUCUGUCUGUGUGACUGCAUGCCUGCAUGUUUCAGCGUCUGCCCAGUGCACCGGGUAGUUUAUUUCUUUUUAGGUCGCAAUCCAAAAUGAAAAGUAAAAAAAAAAACUGGGUCUCCUACGCCGAAUGACUGUCUCAUGUUAGGUCCAGAAACAUCAGCACAAAAGUUAAAACUGCUGGUCAAACCCCACCGAGGCACGAUGUUUGUGACCCAAAAUGUUGCAGCAGGACGAGUCCAAUACUGCUGAACUGGCUCCGCCGAGUUCAACCUUUAACCUCGCAUUGCCAAAGCUGAUCAGUGGAACAAUGAUCACAUGCUUUUCUGUGUGGAGUCAACCAUUUGCUGUUCCUGGAAUAGAGCAUCACAAAGCCUGACCUCAGAUAGUAAAAAUUGACAAAUGAACAUGGAAAAGUCCAGUUGGAAGGAGACGAGGGCGACAGCAGAUUUGCAAUACGUCUGAUUAACCAUUAGCAGACUGCCAAAGGUUGAGCUUCGCUUAAAGAUAAGCAUGGGCAGUUCAGAGGUUAACAUAACAUGAGCUGCUGAGUCUCGAGGGAAACUCGAGGGACCGUUGUGACUCCGUGGUCACUCAGAGUGUCGGCAGGUUGCCACGACCACCUGAAUGUCUCCUUGGCACUUUUCCUGUCAUUUUGCCGUGAAGGACAAUGGCCAACAGGACACAGACCUCCUCUCACCUCACUCUGUCUGCUGAAAUAAUAACUCAUUCUUUUUCAGUGUCUAAAAAUGUAAUCCGUGUGUGCCAAUAUUCCUAAAGCUGCUUAGUCUCAUGUGUAUUGAACAAAGAGAGAAAUUAGUACAAAAAGUAAAAUUAUUCCUCAUAUUUUGAUUUCCAAUAAAAAAAGUAUCUUCACUGAAAUAAGAUUUUCACAUUUCUAAGUGCUUCUCUCUUAAAUUUAACUAUGUUAGUCCAUCUCUAAAUUUACCUUUAACUUUCAAAAUGCGUCGUCUUAACCGUCAAGUUUGUUAUCUCCAAAUAUCUUAAGACAUCUUUACAUUUUUAACGUACAUUUUUAGAGGUCACAAGAAAUAUUUUUCCAUCUCUAAUUUCUUCAUGAAGUUCUGCAGAUUUCCACAUUUACCGGGUGUUAAAUUUCUAAAUAAAUGCUUACCUUUUUCUCAUUUUUACGAUGAAUUCACUUUUUCUGAUUUUGAAAUUAGUUGAUAUUUUGAGAAGCUGAUAAACUGAGUUUAAGAAGAGAAAUCACAAAUUCUCAGUCAUAGCGAUUCUGUGUGGACGCAGCAGAAGUUGGCUUAACAUCUGCAUUGUUUGAGAGAAAGAAAUGACAAAAAGAUAAAGGUAGAAAUAAAAAACCUGAUAACAGAAGAUAAAAAAAAUCGUUUUUUAUUAAAUUGUGUCCUUGUAGUACAGAAAUAUGGAAUAAACCAAAUAAAGGGCUUUAUUUAAUGACAUACUUGCAUUCUGUAUUUCUGUCUAAUCACACAUUUACAACAGUUAUCAUUUGUCCGAUAUCAGAAAAAAAAAAAAGGUCCUUAUUUCUUCUGUGGUUUAUUUUCUCUCUCUGUGACUCAGCAGCUUAUGAAAGCAGUCAGCUCUUACAUAAAAACAGUCUCUGUCUCAUUUUUUUGUGCUUCAUAGGCCUAUUUUUAAUUUAGUGGUAUGAAAUCGUCAGACUCAUAUGAGAUGGAAAAUAAGCUGUAAGAUAUCUGUGGAAAUUAUUUGCCUUUUAACCACUUGAAUGCUUGCAUGCUCCACCCUGUGCUGCCACCUACUGUCGGGGGGUGGGGGGAGCAUUUUAAAUUCCUGGUCUCUCUUGAAUAAAAUCUUUUGUAUUUAAAAUGGCUUCCCAGUGGGCUAGGAACUGGAUUAAACAUGAGUUUCCAUCCUCUGAA